rnacentral:rRNA from 1 species
CCUACGGGAGGCAGCAGUGGGGAAUAUUGCACAAUGGGCGCAAGCCUGAUGGAGCAACGCCGCGUGUGUGAUGAAGGGUUUCGGCUCGUAAAACACUGUUGUAAGAGAAGAAUGACAUUGAGAGUAACUGUUCAAUGUGUGACGGUAUCUUACCAGAAAGGAACGGCUAAAUACGUGCCAGCAGCCGCGGUAAUA